rnacentral:ncRNA from 1 species
UUGGCUGAGGCGGCACAUCUGUUAAACAAUAACGCAGGUGUCCUAAGGAGGACUCAUGGAGAACAGAACUGUCCAGUAGAACAGUAAAAGUCCAUUUAAUUUUGUUUUUCAGUGUG